UACAGAGGGGGCAAGCGUUGUUCGGAAUUACUGGGCGUAAAGGGCGCGUAGGCGGCCUGCUAAGUCGAACGUGAAAUCCCUGGGCUCAACCCAGGAACUGCGUCCGAUACUGGUUGGCUUGAAUCCGGGAGAGGGAUGUGGAAUUCCAGGUGUAGCGGUGAAAUGCGUAGAUAUCUGGAGGAACACCGGUGGCGAAGGCGACAUCCUGGACCGGCAUUGACGCUGAGGCGCGAAAAGCCAGGGGGAGCAAACGGG
rnacentral:rRNA from 1 species